rnacentral:rRNA from 1 species
GGGUCAGUAGGUUGGUCGUGCCACCGGUACGUACUGGUCUCACUGAUUCCUCCUUCCUGAAGAACCGUAAUGCCAUUAAUUUGGUGUUGCGGGGAAACAGGACUGUUACUUUGAAAAAAUUAGAGUGUUUAUAGCAAGCUAACGCUUGAAUACAUUAGCAUGGAAUAAUGAAAUAGGACGAUCGAUCCUAUUUUGUUGGUUUCUAGGAUUGACGUA